rnacentral:lncRNA from 1 species
AUUUUAAAUCAGGUUUAUAUUUAUUUAUAAUUUGGCCCUGAACUUUGUCGCGCUUUUCAAUUUAGUCCCUGGCCAAGCUCAACGUUUUAAAGGCUUGGGAAAAUUGCUUUUUUGGCCCCCCACUGUUUCACACGUGUUCAAAUUAGCCCUUUUUCUUUUUUUAUUUAUUUUAAAAUCACCCCAAAACUUCGUUUUUGUUUCAAUUUUAGUCCUUUUUUAUAUUUUUAAGUUUAUUUUCAUAUUAUCCUUGCUAUUUUAUUUAUUUUUAAUAUUAUUAUAUUAUUCUCAUGAUUAUCAUUUUUAUUGUGGUUAUUUUUAUUCCUUUUAUAAUUUAUUAUUAUAUUAUUACUAUAGUUACUAUUACUAUUUCUAAUAUAUAUUACGUACAUAGUUUCCUAUAUUAUAAUAUAUUUAUAUAAUAUUAUUAAUAAGUUGUUUUUUAACAUUAUUAGUGUAAAUAGGCCAAUUUACCCGGGCCCACUAGAAACCCAAAUAUAUAAUAAAUAAAUAAAUAUGUAUAUUAAAAACCCAACAAAUAUUAUAACAGUCCAUUAAUGUCCUAUCAAGCCCAAAGACCCAAAACAGUCCUUCUAGCCCAAAUCUAGUGGCCCAAUACUUAAAAUGAACCUAAGUGGCCCAAAAGACUUCAGCAACCCUAGGUCAUCCCUCCCUCAUUUGCGCCGCAACCCUCUGCAGCCUCCAGCAACCACGCCAAGUCUCCGUACGCCAGCAUGGCUCCCGUACACACGCCAGCACGCACCCGUACCUGCAAGAAGACAAACAAACACAACAGCAAAUGAAAAUAAAAGAAAAUAUUGUAUUUUUUAUCGAUUUGAUUUUCCUUUUUUUUCUUCUUCGGCUAUAAAGCCGAAAGUUCCAUCCUUGUAAUCGACACACGCAAAAAGGCAAUACAAGAAAAGAGAAGACCACCUAUAUUCGAAGGUGAUUUUUCGAUUUAUAUUUGCGGGCGUUCCUCUUUUUUUCUUUCGAUUGUUCUUUGUUUUGUUUUUUUUUUCUCGAAAGUAAAUAAAGCGAAGAGGAGGGGACUUACCUUCGCGUAUGAGCCAUCGGAGACCACAUCUCCUUCGCUAAAAAUUGAAAUCGGAGAAGGGAUUUCAGGGGCCGAAAUCGAUAGCCUUUAGGCCAAGGUUCCAAGCGAGUGGCGCACAUGCGGUUCUCCCCCGUUCGCAGUGGUGGCGGUUGGACUGCACGGAUCCUUGGAUUCCGCCGAGUGGAGAAGGGGGCGUAUGGCUUCCUUUUGCUUUUGGUUCUAAAAGAACCAAGAAUCUUAGUCUUAGGGUUUUCUUUUUAGUUUUAAGGACAGACACAAAACGGUACUGUUUAGAGUCUGUUUGGUGGCUCAAAAACAGUGUCGUUUAAGCUAAAUCGUCUCGACCCGACCCGAUGGUUCCUAUGACCCACGUGUUUUGGGCGGUGAGGGUUUUAUUGCACUAUCGGUCCUUCCCCUUUUACAUUGGGUGCAAAUCGGCUCUUAUUCGUAUUGCAUUUUUUAAAAUUCGGCCCGGUUGUUUGCGCGUGUUUUCAUUUUGGUCCAUGCCUCAGUGUUGCGUUUUGGGGUCUGGAUUAUUUCCAGACUUGGUCCUUGCGCCUUCAUACACGUUACACACCGGUCCCCUUUUUUUAAUAGUUCAUUGCUUCAUAAUUUCCCCUUUUCAUUUUUAUUCUAUUUUAAUUGGAUUUCCUUCUAAUUUAUUUUAUGGUCCAUCAUUUUUAAAAUACAUCCAACACCUUUUGAUUUUCGUUAUUUGCUUUUUUUGUGUUUUAAAUUAAUUUAAUGAUCGCCAUCAUAAUGUCUCCAUAUUAUCAUACACAUAGAUGUAUACAUAUUUUAUGAUAAA